GGUAUCGCUGUAUGUCCAUCUUCAAGAAACAGGGUAAUGGCAGUGAACCAGAACUUCAGAGGUUCAGUGUCCCACACCAUCCACUCAUCCUCUGAGCUGCUAUCAUCCAAUGGAGACCUCAACCUGAAAAAGCACCGGUGUAAUGAUUGAACCAGAUCGGUUUUGGUACUUCAAAGUUCUCAUAAUCCGGUGAAAAAGCUGCGAGGUGCCCCGAGAUACCCUGAACAUCUCCUCAGGUUUUGCACACAAAGACAAAGCUCACCAGAAGAACUGAAAGGAAAUCCUGCUGAAAUAACCCUGGAGUCUGAGUGGUCUUGCUAAAGCAUCAGUUGACUCAACAGGCUCAGCUUCCAGGUCUUCAAUAACACGGGAACAGAAAGCACCAGGUCAAUCUCGGGAUAAAUCUUGAGAGGAACGAAAGAGCCAGUAGACUGAAAGCGAAUGGGAAAAAUCGACAGAAUCGCAUCCGCGUGAAACUCGCAGAAGAUGAAGAAAAGUUUAAAAGAAACGUGCAAUAUUCCCUAUGCCUGCGCGGAAGAAAGGCAAGUUGGUUGUCAAGUUUCCAAGGGUAUUCUUUUCAGUGUGUAAAGUGUUGUUCUGGUAAACUAAAGCGAAGGGAACCAUUCACAGAGAUGAAAGGACGCACAGCGGUAUCAAAGGGCUUGCUGCAGACCCAAUCUAGCCAGGCUGAUUUCUGGAUUUUUCUAUAAUGCGACACAUGAAACACUGGAGCAGGUGAUGGAGGAGAUCUUUCAAAUCCCACCCCCUCGUGCGUUUGCGGGUCAGCGGGCCGCUCUACGGGGAGGAAGCCAUUUUGUACGAUGGGAGAUAAUGGAACGCUGUGUAUCUAUAUAUCUCUAAAAUAUACAUGUAUAUAUGUUUGUAAUAAGUCUUGCACUUCCAAAAUAUUAAAUUAACAAUAAAAAGUCAAAUCUUUACACCACCGGCUAUCUCUCUUUAGCAAUGGAUGGCUUGCUAUCUCCCCACCCCCCCAGCAUUAAGAUGGAUGUGUGCUGCGCCUUUCUGACUUAUUCGAAUCUGUGCCGCAGACGUCCAAUUUUUAUCACCUCAGAGGUGGAGAUUCACAGCA